rnacentral:rRNA from 1 species
GUCUAUGGCCAUACCACCCUGAACGUGCCCAAUCUUGUCUGAUCUUGGAAGCUAAGCGGGGUCAGGCCAGGUUAGUACUUGGAUGGGAGAAAGAGAAAGACAAAUACCAUAUGAU